GGCCCGUUCGUCUAGUGGUAAGGACGCUGGCCUCUCACGCCGGAAGCAGGGGUUCGAUUCCCCUACGGGCCGCCA
rnacentral:tRNA from 1 species